AGAUGGAAGAAUAUAGAAUGGGUCCAUGGCAACAAAGUUUCCUGUGAGUUCCACCUGACAUCUGCUUAAAUCUCAUAGUUUGAAACUGAGAUGUGGUCACUCUUGGAGAUCCAAGGGAGACGGUGAAUUUAGAAGGCCAUUCCUGUUGCCUGAGUGAGGAGAGAGCCAUCAGAAUGUGAGAAAGUCCAAACGGCCUGUGACAAGCAAGGUGCAAGUAGAAAGGAGCUGUGACCCCAGCCCUCAGCCUUAGCGGAACGUCCAGUGGACAGCCCGCACGGACUUGCCGCCAGAAGGGAGCCUCAGGCAGGCCAUCUCAGCUGACGCUCCGUGGCACAAAGAUGAACCAUCCUUGCUGAUCCCUACCUACAGUGCAGGCAUGUGAGCAACAUAGAGAUACUGGAUUUUUUACAAAGUGAAGGUUUGUGGUAAACUCAGUGAACUCUGUGUCCAGCAAGUCUGUUUGGUGCCAUUUGCCCCACAGUGUGUCUCCAUGUCACAGAUGUUUUAUUGGAUUAUAAUAUACACAGAGAAGACAACCCACAACCUAGGAGCACAGUGGAUUUUCAUAAACGGAGCUACCCUGGCAACUGGCCCCCAGAUGGAGAAGAAGCAAGGCAUCAUCAGCGCCCAGAGAGCCCCUCGCCCGUGGCCUCCACAUGAGCUGACAGGUCUGGGGGGCGGUUGAGCCCCCAGGUAGCUGCCGUGCUCAUUUUCUGAAGGCAUUUCGCUGCAGCCUGUUGCUCGAUUUGGGCAAAGCAAGUUUCUCCGGAGAGACGCAGACUUGAGCCUUUUUCAAGAUGCCGGAUUUCAAACACGAGGGGGCCAAAAGAAAAUCUGAAGAUUUGUCAGCUGCUUCUAGUGGUUGCUCCAGAGGAACUGUAGGCACGUUGGGAACACGAUAGAAAACGGCUGCCAAUUCAAAAGCAGGGAAAGAGCAAACCUGCAUAUACAAGGGAGCUGCGAGCUGGACUGGCUCCCAGCAGAAGUGAGACUGGGAAUCAUGGAUUCAGUUGCCUCUUCUCUCCUCUGUCAUGUGGCCAAAGUCGGCACCUAGGCUUGAACUUAGUCAUUACUGCUAACUUCUCAACCUUUUCUGAGCUACCUGACUCCCUGGUGUGCUAGUUUCCUCAUCUGUGAGUUGGGAGGUGAUAUGUUCUUCAUAUUGAGGUUGAGGCUGUUGCGAGGGCUCAGUGGAAACACCAGGCAUGGAUCCCGGGAUACAGUAGGUGCUUCAUAAAUGCAAACCAGCAUGAAUAUGAACUCUGCUCCUGCUUGUCCUAUGGUGCCUUGCCUCUGGCGGCUGGUCUCUCGUACUCUGGGCUCACUGGGACUUGGCAGUUCUCCCAGGGUGUCUGUCCUUGGUGUCCCAGUACUUACAUGUCCUGUGCCAUGGGCUCCCUUCCAGCCACAGAUCCCGGCUCACUGUGAUACAACCUUGCUUCUGCUGGUUGCCAUGCUUAUAAAGGGGCUGAUGACCACUCAAGUAUGAGUUGAUGAUUGACGAAUGCCAUCCCACCAGACAGUGUUUGCUAUAUUACAGGAUUUGUUUUUAUUUUAUUUGGCACUAGAAAGGCACUGAGAGUAAAAGGAAACUCUCUGUGAUGGUGUAAUAAAGGUACUAUAAUUUUUUUGUGGAGGGAAGGGAGGCUUUUAAUCCUGAAACUUUUCAUGUCAUACCUCGAUUUUAGCUGCUGAGUUUCUCUACUCAUACUGAUCUCUUCCCACACUGGGUUGUAUAGUUCCCCUCCACCCCCCCAAAUUCAGGUCUACUUGGAACCUGUGAAUGUGGUCUUAUCUGGAAAUAGUCAUUGCGAAUGUAUUCAUGUUAAAAUAAGCCCUAAAUCCAGUAUGGCUGGAGUCUUUACAUGAAGAGGUAAAUUUGGACAUAGAGAUAUAUACAUACAGGGGAUGUAGCUGUGUGAAGACAGAGACAGAUUGGAGUGAGGUGUCCAUAAGCCAUGGAGCAAAAAGGAUUGUGAAACCAUCAGAAGACAGGGAAGGAUUCUUCCCUGUAGGAACAUGGGCCCACCAACACUUUGGUUUCCAGCCUCCAGAACUUUGAGAGAAUAAACUUGUGUUGUUUUAA